GGGCGGCGAGCUUAAGCCUCUGCACACCCUGCAGUCAGGAAGUCCUUUGCUUUCUGAUGCAGGGCUCUACCCUCUGCCUCUUGUUUUUAUGAUCUCCCCACUCUAAAAAUAAAACCUCUUCCACUUCCCUCCCCAGGCCUCAGACGCUUUCCUGGCCACGCCUCCCCAUGGCGGCGGCGGCGGCGUGGAUCACACCAGCGUCUCCCCUGGGCAGAUCCAGCCUCGUUCUUCCGGCUUGGGACUGGGUCCUUGCCUCUGAGGUGGCACCCUCUCCCCUUGAUACCCCUGCUGUCCUAUCUGGGGUUCAGGCUUACAGCUGGCUGGGAUCUCAUCCUCUGGAUCCAGGAAUGCCUUGGGCUCUGGGGGCCCAUCUUCAGCUGUAAUGUAGGAAAAUAAAGUUACCAGCCAUCCCGGGAGUUCCCUCCAGCUUUGGCCCUGGUUCCGGGUUCCCACCUCGAGGCAAGCAAGUAUAUGGAAAGGAUGCUCAGGUUAAAGGUUCAUGAAACAGCUAGCCGCCCUAGCCCCAUGCCAGCUCCAGCGUGUGGAGGAAACUACUCGAUCACGGCAGCUACUCACUCCAGCUCCGGAAGCUGCUGCCCCAGGCAUGACCAUUUCAAAGAGAAUUCACAAGUGUCCAUGAACUCUAGCUGACUCUAUCACAAUCUCUCCCCAAGCCAGAGGAGAGGGGCUGAGCUGAACCCAGAUCAAAAGGCAGCAGCAACUGGACUGGGAAAAGAAGCCAUCGCGGCGGCGGCCAAGCGGCCAGGCAGGCCGCAGAGGCAAUGGCAGAAGGGAACCAUGGGAAACGCGCUAGCCUUGAGACAGGCAUUAUUAGCUCCUGGAAGGAAGGAAAGGCAGGGCCCAUUGUGGACCAUGAGACAUGCGACCGCUCCCUUGAUUGGACCAUGAACACAGAUUACCUUUCCUGUCGGGCCAAAGAACCACGCAUAAGGCCUGGCAGGGAUUGAGAAGGACGAGUGAAGAAUAGCUUGCCUUGGAGUUCAGGAGAGGCCUCCCACUGGUCCAUGCUGCAGGGAUUUGUCAUCUCUGCCUCGGAGCUUUGUCCCCAGUAAGAACCUGAUGCCAACAGGUCUCACAUUCCUCCGUGGGUUUGUUUUGCCUCAAGGUAACCUUGGGACAUGGGGGUGGCAGGCGUGGGUGGGAGUUUUCAUUACAGGAACCUCGCUGUGCUGUCCUGGCGACACCAGAUGACUCCUCAUUCUGAUGCCAGGCCCCUACCCAGUUCUCCCUUUGACACGGAGCCUUUGUAUAGGCCUCGCUCACCAGGCCAGGGCCCUCAUCCCUGCUCCAGCAGCCUCUGCCCCCCGCGCCUCCGCCCCAUCUCUCCCUCCCCUCUCAGCCUCAGAUUUUCCUACCCCUCCUCGUUCAGAGCUCUGGUUCCUUCCCCUGUGAAAAGCUACAUUUCUCUGCAUCCUCUCAGACCUUCACACUCUUUCCCCGCCGGCCAUCAAGAAAGGCUGGCACCAAGCCUGGAUGGACACAGGAUCCCUGUAUGUCACCUCUCGGGCCCUUUGACAACUGAAGCAUCCUCACACGUUUGUCUCUCAGGGAAGCCCAGAUGUUAUUUCCAUGGAAACCUAGUGAACCAAAACCUUCGUCUCCAAGACCAGCUUCCUGCCUCUGUUCACUGGAAACAGCCAAGGCCCUGGGAGGCACCUGGCUGACAGAUGGUGGCCUGCACCUGUGACUCCUGGUGUGGCUCAUCCUUGGGUAUCCAAGUCUAAAGAUGCUGGAUGCUAGGACAGAACAGGAAUGUUGUUUUUAACAACAUCUCAAUCAUUCGAUUUUACCAGUAAAGACCCGGGAGCCAGAUGCCGGGGUGAAAGCCUGCUAGCUCGGAGAGGCAGAGAAAGCACCCAGCUGACCUUCUCCUCCACCGAUGUCCCUGAAGCCUUCCCACGCCAUCUCAAAGAAGACUCACGAAACUCAACUGACUCCCGAGUCUUUACUGCCCCAGGACCCAGGCAGAGCGGAGUCCUCAAAGAGGUGCAUGCAGUGUGGAGAGCCAUGGGAGCAGCUUUUUCCUCAAUGGCUUUUCUGUUUAGAAAUCACACUUGGGGGGCUGGAAAGAUGGCUCAGUGGUUAAGAGCACCGACUGCUCUUCCAGAGGUCCUGAGUUCAAUUCCC